rfam:Colinus virginianus strain Texas jcf7180006226548, whole genome shotgun sequence.
GUCUUUGGUUAUCUAGCUGUAUGAGUGUUGUGGAGCCAUCAUAAAGCUAGAUAACCGAAAGU